rnacentral:lncRNA from 1 species
UGAUGAUCAAGCCUUCCUUUGGACAAGCUUAAAUAACUCAGCCACUGUUCUUUGUUGGAGGACUUUGGGACUACUGAUGCAAUGUGUCCACUUGGGGGCCCUUUGGAGAAAAAAUUGCUAAUUUCAGAGGGGCAGCCGCACCAGUGGUUAAGGAAAUCCCUGGGGAGAAAAUGUUUCUGUCUGGAUUAGAGAGAAGACAUCUUAUUUACUCAUUCAAUCUUCAUGAUAAUCUUGUGAAGCUAUAAUUAAUAUCCUUAUUUUUGCAGAUUAGGAAACUAAGACGUACUGAGGCUGGGUGCCUGGUUCAAGAUCAUAUAGCUAACAUUAUUGGACAUGCAAAUCAAGCCCAGAUUUGUGACUCUGAGCUGAUGUUAAUUCUGUCACAAUAUUGGUUCUCAAGAUAAAUCUUUCCAGGUGAGGGGGAAAGGGAAUAAAUAUCUAGAAGUCCCCUUAAACAGAAGUAAUUAAUUCGUUUGCAGAAAUUGGCAAAAUUUGGGGUUCCCUUCUUAAAAGUUUCCUUCUGUCACUUGGAAAAAAUUUAAAAUAUGUGCAUUAGGUUGACAAAGAUCAAAAAAGUUAAAAAAAAAACCCUUUUUGGAAUGCUGUGGAGAAAGG